AUGUCGAGUUGCCCCUUGGUUUUCGCCUCCCAAGACCUAGAGCCGAAAGUGUAGCUCUAAAGACCUAACUAGAAUAUUUGAACUAUGGAAAAACUUGUGUUUCUUGGGUCUUCUCUCUUCCCCAAAGCCUCCUUAUAUAGUGGUUGGGAAGAGUGUACAAAGACUGAAAAGCCCAUGAAAAUCCCAAGUAUAUUCUAAUAUGAAUGUCUCUUGAUUUUCAUCUAAUUAUCACAUAGAUAAUUAGGAGGUUAAUAUCCUCAUGUGGGUGGAAUAUCCUUUGAUAUUUAUUUAUCCCAUAAGAUAAAUCCUACAUCUCCCACUCACCCACAUAGGGUGUGGCAUAGUCUCAAUCACACACUUAGUUCACAUCCAUUAUAGUCUAUCUCCUCAUAUAGGAAAUGGGACGUGCGACCUCUCGAGAAAAAACGUACAUAACCAGAAGCACUGCCAUUUAGCUAUCACUAAAUUAACAAUAGUGCAUCACUCGGAAGUUCAUCGCUUUAUGUCCCAGACUGUUCGUCACACACUAGACAUGACAUUAUUUAUCCCUCGUUAUGAAAAUAAAAAACAAUGUCAUGUCUAACAAGUAUCAUGUAUCCAUGUCUUAUGUUUGAUAACAAAUAUCAAAGGACGCCGUGCAACUAAUGAAUCAUAUGACAUGGUGUUUUCUUCAAACUGUCUUCCUUAAGCUCUCAUGUUAUUCUAAUUUGAUUUAACUGCUUACCUAGACACGCCUCUUGGGAUAGUAGCUAACUUGACCAUCUUAGAUAAACAUGCUAAAGUAGCGAUCAUUAAACCUCAUCUUUCUAACAUGGACUUUAUUUCAAAUGGCAUAAGGGUGGAAUCGUAUAGAUUCCUUAUGGUUCACAUAGUGAUUGAAGUAGAGAUAAAUUCAUCUCUCCCACUAUCAGUCGGUUAUAGCACAUAUAAUAUGAUUUGUAUACUAUGGUGUAUCCUCAUGUCAAUGAAUGUGUCACAUGUCCAUUGGACGUACACCAUAUGGAUCUUAGUCUAGUCACUACACAAGUGCCAAACUUGAGCCUAGUUGCCUUUUUGGCGCCCACCUAGAUACUCAUAUCUGGCUUUACAAGUUUCAGCAUGAAACAAAUCUCAUGUUUGACUUCUGUUAAGUCUUAUCUUAAACAUUUAUAAGGCGACGUUUACCUUGUGCAUAUUGGUACGUUCAACAUACACAUGUCUGGUCUCGCAGUACAAUGUGUUGAGGACAUAAAUGUCUCAUCCUACUCGCUAUCUCAGUGCUAGGGCGAAUCAUUCGUGUGAAAAACUGAUUCUAGCUUGGUGACACUCGUAAAGAUGUGUAAACAAUCAUUUCAAAAAUAAAUAUGAAAUGAAAAACUUCAAUUCCUUUUUAUUCAAUAAUAAUGUCAAAUACAAAGAAAAACACAUCAAGCCCUACAUAAACCCAUAUUCUUUACAUGAGUAAAAAACAAGCUUCUAAUUAUGGGUUUAGUCAUGGGAUCAGCGAGCAUAUUGCUCGUCGAGAUAUUUUUCAACACUACUUCACCCUUGGUAACCUUGUUCCUCAAGAAAUGAUAUCAUGUAUCUAUGUGCUUAGAUUUUCCAUGAUAUUUAGGAUCUUUAGUGUAUAUUAAGGCCGAAGUACUAUCAUAGUAGACAAGUACAGCUUCUUGAGCAUAAGCUGUAACUCCCAUCUAUCGUAGAAAUCUCCAAAGCCAAACAGCUUCUUGAACAGCUGAUCCAAGGGCAACAUAUUCUGACUCCAUUGUGAAAAGAGCAAUACGAGUUUGCUUUUUGCUACACCAAGAAACAAUUCCAUCUUCAAGGACGAAAGCAUAACCUGAGGUGGACUUGCGUUCAUCUUUAUCGCUUGCCCAGUCUGCAUCACAAUAACUUCUCAACUUUAAAUCCCCUCCUUGGUAAAAUAGAGCUGAAUCUUUUGUUCCUUGCAUGUAUCUCAUAAUCCUCUUGACGGCUUGCUAGUGAGCUUGUCCAGGAUUACUUUGAUAGCAGCUUACCAUACCCACGGCAUGGCAAAUGUCCAAACGCGUGCAAAGCAUCACAUACAUUAUACUUCCUACUGCAGAGCCAUAAAGGACGUUUUCCAUUUGUUCUUUCUCUUUCUUAGUCUUUGGACAUUGUUCUAAGGACAAUAUUGCACCUCUUUCCAUAUGAGUGUCUAUGGGUUUGGAGUUCUCCAUCUUAAAUCGUUCAAGUACCUUCUUAAUGUAAGUCUAUUGAGAUAAACUUAUCUCUCGUGAUUUUAACUCCAAGCACAUAAUGUGCUUCACCUAUAUAUGUCAUCUCAAAAUGGGAUGACAACCAUGCUUUCGUGGUUUCUAUGGAGGUUUUGUCAUUUCCCGCUAUUAGGAUGUCUUCAACAUACAAAGAAAGUAUGAGAAUACUUUUCCCAAAUUUCUUAAGAUGCACAUAGUGGUCUUCUUCAAUCAUCUCAAAACCAAAUGAAGUGAUUGAAUUAUGGAAUCUAAUGUUCCACUAUCUAGAUGCUUGCUUGAGGCCAUAUAUGGAAUGUUUUAGGCGGCAAACUUUGCACUCUUGUCCCUUGGCCUCGAAGCCUAAAGGUUGAUCCAUGUAUAUCUCCUCGUCUAGUUCUCCAUUGAGAAAUGUUGUCUUAACAUCCAUUGGGUAAAAUUCCAAAACUAGUUAAGCAACAAUAGCUAAAAUAAUGCAAAUAGAGGCAAACCUCACCACAGGGGAGAAUGUCUAUUCAUAGUCUACACCCAAUUGCUGAGUGUAUCCUUUCACCAUAAGGUGUGCCUUAUAUUUGUUAAUUGAACCAUUCACCUUGUGUUUGAUUUUUAAAACCCACUUGUUUCCAAUUGUUUUACUCCCAGGUGGAAGGUCAACUAACUCCCGAACAGUAUUUUUGUCCAUGGAGCUCAUCUCUUCCUCCAUUGUAGUUAUCCAUUUUUCUUUGGCCGUUGAAGACAACGUUUCUUUGUAAGAAGAAGGUUCGUCUUCCUCUGAAUGUAUGCAAAUGUAAGCCUCCUCAUCAACCUCAAAAUGACGUUUGAGAAUGUGGCCUCUCUUACUUCUUCGAACUGUGUGACCUUGAAUUUCAGAGGGUACGCUCCCUUCAUUGGGCGUAUUCUCUUGAGUGUUUAUGGAUACAUUACUCCCACUAGGUUAUGUACUCCUACUCGGAUCAAGUCUUCCUACAUCAUAUUCAGUGACCAUCGGAUUGGAAUUUAAUUCCCCUCAUUCACUUGAAGAUGUUACGAGUUCUUCAUCUUUCUCCAACUCAUGGAGAUAAAGGUUUUUGACAAUAUUGCCAAGUUUUGGGAAGUCAUUCUCUAUGAAUUCCACACAUCACAUGAAUCAAUCUUGGUUCUCCCUUCAUCUGGAUGUUCACCAUACAUCACAUAACCUUUCGAGUUUUCACAAUAUCUUAUAAAGAUAUGUUUAUUUUCUCUAGGACCCAACUUUCCAAACUUAUGUGAUUGAUUAUGAACAAAUCCAGCACAACCCCAAGGAUGCAAAUUACCCAGAUUGGGUUUUACAUCAUUCCAAAGUUCGUAUGGGGUUGACUGAACCAUCUUUGAAGGCACACAAUUAAGUAUAUACGUCGCACUCAAUAAUGCAUCACCCUAGAAAGAUAUGGGGAGAUUUGCAUGCGCCAUCAUAGACCUGAACGUGUCUAAUAAAGUUUUGUUUCUCCUUUCAGCAACAUCAUUUUGUUGUGGCAUGUGAGGAACAUAAAGUUGUCUGCAUAUCCCCUUACUUUCACAAAAAACCUUGAAUUGGUCAGAUAAAUACUCGCGUCCACGAUCAAUGCGAAAAGGUUUUACAGUCUUCCUUUUUUUAUUCUCAACCUCAGCUAUGAAGCAUUUCAAACAAUCUAAAUUUUCAUAGCGAUGAGCGAUCAAGUACACAUAACCAUAUCACGUGUAAUCGUCAAUCAAAGUCAGAAAAUAAAAGGCACCAUGACAGGCCUUCACACUCAUUGGUCCACAAAUGUCAGAGUGGAUUAACUCUAACAGAUGAGUAGCUCGAACAGCCUUUCCAAAAGGCUUUGUAACUACUUUGCCAACUAAACAAGGCUCACAUACAGGUAGAUUAACAUUAGUGAGUGACCCCAACAGGUCUUCUCUAACUAACCUUGUCAUUCUAUCUUUCCCUAUAUGCCCUAGUCUAGCAUGCCAUGUUUCAGAAUUAACAUGUUUAAUAACAGUUACUAAAAAAGUAGAAGAACAAGAAUCAAUCAAAUCCAAGCAAACAAAAGCGUUCUUUAUUGAACCCAUAUCCAAUUUCAACUUAAUCCAAAUAGAUCACAAGUCUAGACGGGCUUAAGUAAAAACAAUAUCCUUCAUAUAAUAGUGCAGUAACUGAAAGUCUAGACACCUAAUGCUUAGUUGAAGUCGAUACAAACCAACUCUCAAAGCUUAUGCAUGACUUCCUUCACCCACGUACACUGAGUGUGAAUUUGCUGGAAAGCAUUGAUAAUUUUCAAACCACAUUUUAUCUCGCGUCACAUGCUUGGUUACGCCUGUGUCUAACAUGUAUAUGCGAAUAUACACAAACAAUGACAAAUUUAGGGUUACGUAUUACCUUUCUAUUCGGCUCAGUGCAAUUAACUAUAAAAUGUCCUUUCUUUUUAUAGUUAAAGCACGUUGACUUGGAUUCACCUUUCUUGCCAUGUUUACCUCUCUGGGCCUUGAUCUUAUUAGAAUUAGGAGCAAGCUUUGCAUCCUUUUUCUCAGACUUGGUCUUACCCUUUCCUUUGAACUGGUUACCCUUUUUGAACCCACCUUGAGUCAAAAGGACAAUACUCUGGGUCGCCACUCAACGCUCACCUUCCAGUUCAACAUGACGCGAGAUGUCAUGAAAGUUCUUAAUCUGAUCAUUGUGUAUCAUGAUCUGUUUAAGGGCAUCCCACGAGUAUGGGAAGGACCUAAUCAUAGCUUGGACUUGCUGUUCAUCGGUGAGGAUACUCCCAGCAACUUUAAAAUCUCGUAUCAUGUUGGACAUUUUCCUAAGAUGUUCAAAUACAGAGUGCUUAUGAUCCAUCCUGUAAACCUCAAACUUCAACACUAGACUUCUCAGCCUAGUAGUUGAGGUUCCACCAUAAGAAAAUUUUAGUUGGUCCCACAUCUCCUUGGCUAUCGAGUACCAUUCAUACCCAUCAAUAAGAUCAUCAUGCAUGCUGCUUAACAUAGUAAAUCGCACUUCGAUCUUUCUUGAACCAAGAUUCAUAAGACCUUACUCUAGCCGUAUAUUGAGCCGCAGUGGUUCCAUCUCUCUCAAGAUCAGGCUCAUCCACCGAAGCCUCCAAGGGCUCCAAGAGCUCUUGUUCAUUGAGAAGAUGUUGGAUCUUCCUAUGCUAAAUAUCAUAGUUGGUUCCAACCAGCUUUUCUCCUUUGGUUAAAUAGGCAAUAACAUUUUUGGCAGCCAUUUCUUUCUACAAAGGUGAAAUAAUUUUGAGAUUAUUAAUUACACAUCUUACAUUUAUUUAUUUCAAAAACUCAUUAGAAAAUAUUUCACUUUUUCUCCUAGGUUGAAAUUGAAAAAUCCCCUAAGUCGUUCGUAAUUACCAUUCAAUUCUAAGAGUCAAGAUCAUAUUUUUGAAUUAUUUUCGAAAUAAAUCUAAUUUAAACAUUAUUAUGUUUUAAGCUUGUCCAUUUUUCAUGCAACAUCCAAUUGAGUGCACAACGAUUAGGGUUUUUAGACAAUGGGCUCGACAUGUGGGCCUCCGUAAGUGCGGCUAGGCUAAAUCUGGGAGGGGUGGCAGUGCGAAGCUUUUAAAAUGGGAUUUUACCUUAAAGAUAUUUCCUAGACACCACAUCAAAUAAGAGGUGACCAUUAGUGAACCCCAGUCUAAUUUCAUUAUUUUUUAUUAAUUAGGUAAUCUUUUUUAAAUAUUCUCCUAAAGAAUAUUCCUUUCUAAUUUAAAAUGCUCAAUCAACAUGAGCAAAUUUGAUCGAUAUUAUCUCUUUUCGAUUUUCCUAAAAUCUUGGCAUGUGUUGGAUAUUUUUUAAAGGUUAAUUAAGAACGUUUCCUUAAUUUUAGUAAAUUAAAAACAUCUCUAAUACCAGACCUAAAUUUACACUUACGUAGGUUAGUGAACCACAAUGAUUCACUCGCCAGCCGUGUCCCAAAAACACAGCCCAUGCGCCACCCAAAGCGGCAAUGCAAAAUUAAAUUUUUUUUAAAUAACUAAUUUAAUAUUGCGCGAACCCACUCACCGUGGGUGGCGCGUGACACACAUGUGCCGCCUUCUGGCGGUCCGAUGCCGUUCUUUACACCUCCGUUGGAUUGAACUCCCUGAGAUGAAUCCAACGGUGUAGCUAACAUCUACAAAAGCCUAGCGAUGUACUCGUACUUGCUUAGGCCGAGAGUGGAAGAGAUGAACCACUGUUCAUCAUCUUCUUCCAAAAAAUCUGGAAUUUCCAGAUUUUUCACUCUCAUGAGGCCUAUUUACAGAGGCCAUAACUUAGUGAUUAUGCAUCCAUUUUAUGCGUAUUUUUUGUCGUUAGAAAGAUCAAAUUACCAUCUACAAUUAAAUCUUCUUUGGAGAAAUUGAAAAACAACUCUAACCUCAUGAAAAAAGGAUCGCAAAAACCUUGAAAAAAUUUGUUUUUCAUGCUAUUACGAAACUAGGGUUUUAAUUAUCUCUCUAACCACUUGGUUUUUCUUUACCAAAUUUUAAACAUAGUCUCAUAUGAAUGUAAAAAACAUAACCCAAGUGUUAAAAUCCAGAAAAAAUAAGCAUGGCAAAAACGAAAAUUUUAAAGACAAGCAUUCAUGACAUAUUCAUAUAUAUCUCAUGCUUUCAAGGCUUUCAUACAUGGCAUAUUCAUAUAUAUAUCUCAUGCUUUCAUGCGAGGAGUGUGUGAGUGGCUCUGAUACCACUGUUGGAAGACUAUAAUUAAAUUCGAAAGGACGUGUGUACCUUUUGUGCGGAAGCUUGAAUCUCAACACGCUCCUACAAACACGAACAACUGCUCUGACCCUCCAUGCACGUCUAGAACCUCGCAGGUCAUCGGGUUGGCUACGGUAUGUUGAGUUUCUCCUUGGUCUUCGCCUCCUAAGACCUAGAGCCGAAAGUGAUAGCUCUAAAGACCUAACUAGAAUAUUUGAAUUGUGGAAAAUCUUGUGUGUCUUGUGUCUUCUCUCUUCCCCAAAGUCUCCUUAUAUAGUGGUUGGGAAGAGUGUACAAAGACAGAAAAGCCCAUGAAAAUCCCAAGUAUAUUCUACUAUGAAUAUAUCUUGAUUUUCACCUAAUUAUCACGUAGAUAAUUAGGAGGUUAAUAUCCUCAUGUGGGUGUAAUAUCCUUUGAUAUUUAUUUAUCCCAUAAGAUAAAUCCUACAUCUCCCACUCACCCACAAAGGGUGUGGCAUAGUCUCAAUCAACACACUUAGUUCCAUUCUAGUCUAUCUCCUCAUACAGGAAAUGGGAUGCGUGACCUCGUGAGAAAGAACAUACAUAACCAGGAGCACUACCACACUCAACAACAUUUAACAUUUCUAUGAACCAAUGAUGCAAAGCAAUAGUCUUUAACCAUACUUAUCGACCAACUUGAAAAAUAUAAAUCAAUCAUAAA
rnacentral:lncRNA from 1 species